GAUGUGGUGGCCGAGUGGUUAAGGCGUGAGGUGCAGGUUCAGCAUCUCCUCAUGAGUUCUCUCUCGCAGGUUCGAAUCCUGUCCACGUCG
rnacentral:tRNA from 1 species